rnacentral:rRNA from 1 species
UCGAGAAUCUUCCGCAAUGCGCGAAAGCGUGACGGAGCAAUGCCGCGUGCAGGAUGAAGGCCUUCGGGUCGUAAACUGCUGUCAUCAGGGAAGAAAAAAAUGACGGUACCUGAAGAGGAAGUCACGGCUAACUACGUGCCAGCAGCCGCGGUAAUACGUAGGUGACGAGCGUUGUUCGGAUUUACUGGGCGUAAAGGGUCUGUAGGGGGCCGAAUAAGUCUGAUGUGAAAUCCCGGAGCUUAACUCCGGAACUGCAUUGGAAACUGUUUGGCUUGAGCAUCAGAGAGGAGAAUGGAAUUCCAGGUGUAGCGGUGGAAUGCGUAGAUAUCUGGAGGAACACCAAAAGCGAAGGCAGUUCUCUGGCUGAUUGCUGACCCUGAGGGACGAAAGCAUGGGGAGC